CAAGUAAAAGACUUGAUAACAGAAACUUUAAGACAUUAAAGAAGGAAACCAAAGAAGAUAUCAGAAGAUGGAAAGAUCUCCAUGUUUGGUAGGAUCGAUAUUGUGAAAACGGCUAUCCUGGAUCUUGAGACUAUCAUCCUGAGCGAGGCCUGAAGAAACCAGUAGAGUUGAUGGAGAAUGGACCAGCCAGGUCCCAGGGAGGCAAAGCCAUGUGAACGCCCUGAAUCAGCAUGGACCCAGAGGGACCUGAGCUAUAAGCCCAGGUGUGGCCCUUGGUGGAGCUGUAGGCGCAGUUCAGUCACCUGAUGACACCCUGCCCUUCCUGGCCUCUCAUUCAUCACCAGCAUAAUCUUCUGGAGCACCUACCUACACAGAGUCUGUGUGCUCCUGUAAAUUCUACCCCAUAGCUGUUGUGAGUCUUUACCAUUUCUGGAGCAUUAAUUGUGACAUUCUCAAAC
ensembl:lncRNA